rnacentral:rRNA from 1 species
GAUGAACGCUGGCGGCGUGCCUAAUACAUGCAAGUCGAGCGAACGGACGAGAAGCUUGCUUCUCUGAUGUUAGCGGCGGACGGGUGAGUAACACGUGGAUAACCUACCUAUAAGACUGGGAUAACUUCGGGAAACCGGAGCUAAUGCCGGAUAAUAUUUUGAACCGCAUGGUUCAAAAGUGAAAGACGGUCUUGCUGUCACUUAUAGAUGGAUCCGCGCUGCAUUAGCUAGUUGGUAAGGUAACGGCUUACCAAGGCAACGAUGCAUAGCCGACCUGAGAGGGUGAUCGGCCACACUGGAACUGAGACACGGUCCAGACUCGUACGGGAGGCAGCAUCAGGGAACCUACCGCAAUGGGCGAAAGCCUGACGGAGCAACGCCGCGUGAGUGAUGAAGGUCUUCGGAUCGUAAAACUCUGUUAUUAGGGAAGAACAAAUGUGUACGUAACUGUGCACAUCUUGAAGGUACCUAAUCAGAAAGCCACGGCUAACUACGU